UUGGUGACGUCAGGCAGCUGGCCGCCGAGUCUACGCAAAUGAUUUGCAUAAUGAGGAAGCAGCCGCCAAUCAGAGUGGGAGUUGACUGGGCUCGCCGGGGGCGGGGGGGGCGGCUGGGCUCACGCGCUCCUGCUCGCCAUGGCAACCGGACCCUCGAAUGCCCUGUGUGUGUCGAGUGUGUGCGGGCGUGGCCGUGGAUCGCGCGUGUGCGCCUUGGGCCGCGUGAGGGGAAGCAGCUUCGUCAUGCGUGAUGGUGUCUGCCGGAGUCGGGGCUAAUCCCCACCGCACACACAGGCACACACAGGCAAACGCAGGCACACGCAGGCACACACACCUCCAAACGCUGGUGCGUUUCCUGCGGGGGUGGAUGGGGAUUCCUCUUCUCUAUUCCCACUAUCGAGCCAGUCCCUCGGAGCCAAUCCCACCCCGCCCCAUCACACAUCUCUGUCUUCGGUGUCUUUAACCACUUUCUUACCCCUGAGCCUCAGACACAUUCGUCUCCCUUGCAGCCUUAAAAAGAAAGGAAGAAUAAAAUAAAAACCCCUUAAACACUCCUUGAACACGGAUUCCUCCUUAGGAGAGUGAGGGAACUUAGCCGUAUUUACUCAGAACCCAUUAUGCACCAGGUGCCCAGUUCAUCCCAGUUCUGUGAACUCAGGAGUGUUCUCUUUUUCCGGAAAAGGAAGCUGAGGUUCUGAGGGUCGAGGAUGUUAGGGCCAGGCCCACCCCAACAUUUGUUGGGCCCAGCGCAAAAUAAGAAAUGGAAAUCGACAUACUGUGCAUCUAAACAUUUAAAAGAUACAAAUCAAAUUACAAUUUGUUAAAUAUGUUCCCCUCUUAUUUUCACAAAUACAGGUUCAGAAUUACGAAAAUGAAAGACAUAUGUACAGCUACGCUUUCUAUAUGACUGAAAGUUGGCAAAAUAUCAGAGCUGAUGGAAUUUUAUUACUCCUGCACAUGUCUAGGUAUUCUCUUGAUGGAUCAGUGAUGUUUGCACAAAGUAGUAAUACAAUGUUUGGACAAAGACACAUACUUCAUAAAUUAUAUAUUUAUUCCAUAAUAUAUUUUUCAUGCCUCUUUCAGUAAAAUUGCUAAUUAUUUUAAUAGAGAUUUCCUUUUUUUUUUUUUGAUAGGUUAUCAUUCUGUCACCCAGGCUGUAGUGCAGUGGUGCGAUCUAAGAUCACUGCAGCCUCAACCUCCUGGGUUCAAGCGAUCCUCCCACCUAAGCCUCCCAAGUAGCUGGGAUGACAGGUGCACGCUACCAUGCCUGGAUAAUUUUUUUUCUUUUUUUUUUUUUGUAGAGAUGGUGGUUUCACCAUUCUGCCCAGGCUUGUCUAGAACACUCCUGAGCUCAAGUGAUCCACCCACCUCGGUGCCCCAGAGUGCUGGGAUUACAGGAGUGUGCCACUGCACCUGGCCUAAUAGAGAUUUUAACAUAACUUGUGUCCAUUGACUAUUCUAAGAAACUGCUGGAGACCAGCAGUAGCAACUGGAAUCAUCAAAAAGUUCUUAAAACAAUAUUCAAUUCAGAAGCAAAUCAUGAUUUUUAAAUGAUUUAUUUUUCUGGCUGAGCAUGGUGACUCACACCUGUAAUCCCAGCACUUUGGGAGGCCAAGGCGGGCAGAUCACUUGAGGUCAGGAGUUCAAGACCAGCCUGGCCAACAUGACAAUAUCCCGUCUCUACUAAAAAUACAAAAAUUAGCCAGGCAUGGUGGCGGGCUCCUCCUACUCUGGAGGCUGAAGCAGGAGAAUCGUUUGAACCCACGAGGUGGAGGUUGCAAUGAGCCAAGAUCGUGUCACUGCACUCCAGCCUGGGUGACAGAGUGAGAUUCCAUCUCAAAAAAAAAAAAAAAAUGCAGCAGCAAAUUAUGAUUUUCAAAAAUCAUUUUUCUGGCGGGAUGCGGUGGCUCACACCAGUAAUCCCAGCACUUCAGGAGGCCGAGGUGGGUGGAUUGCUUGAGAUCAGGAGUUUGAGACCAGCCUGGCCAAUAUGGCAAAACCCCAUUUUUACUAAAUGAAUAAAUAAAUAAAAUAAAUUAUUUUUCUCCUUUAACAGAAAGUUACUCCUUGUAAUAAGUUGACCACGAAAUGGGUUACUGGAAUUUCAUUUUCAUUCAGUCCUAUGUAGUUUUUUUUUUUUUUUUUUUUUUGAGAUGGAGUCUUGCUCUGUCGCCCAGGUUGGAGUGCACUGGCCCGAUCUCAGCUCACUGCAAGCUCCGCUUCCCGGGUUCACGCCAUUCUCCUGCCUCAGCCUCCCGAGUAGCUGGGACUACGGUUGCCCGCCACUACGCCCAGCUAAUUUUUUUUGUAUUUUUAGUAGAGAUGGCGUUUCACCAUGUUAGCCAGGAUGGUCUCGAUCUCCCGAGCUCGUGAUCUGCUUGCCUAGGCCUCCCAAAGUGCUGGGAUUACAGGUGUGAGCCACCAUGCCUGGCCCAGUCCUAUGUAUUUUUUAAAAUUUUCACCCCAAAAGUAGUAAAACAAUUCAAAAAUCAGAACAAAGUUCUCUGCAGAAAAAGAAAAAUACAGUAAAAAAUUUCCUUGAGGCUUCCUCUUUGAUCCAUAUAUUAUUUAUAAAUGUAUUGUUUAGUUUCUAAGUGUUUGGAGGUUUGCCUAUUAUUUUUCUGUUAUUGAUUUCUAGUUUGAGUCCAUUGUGGUCAGAACACACUGUGUAUAAUUUCAAUUUUUUUUUUUUUGAGAUGGAGUCUCGCUUUUGUCACCCAGGCUGGAGUGCAGUGGCGUGAUCUUGGCUCACUGCAACCUCUGCUUCCCGGGUUCAAGCAAUUCUCCUGCCUCAGCCUCCUGAGUAGCUGGGAUUGCAGGCACCCGCCACCAUGCCCGGCUAAUUUUUGUACUUUUAGUAGAGAUGGGGUUUCACCAUGUAGUCCAGUCUGGUCUCCAACUCCUGACCUCAGGUGAUCCGCCUGCCUCAGCCUCCCAAAGUGCUGGGAUUACAGGUGUGAGCCACUGUGCCCAACCUUGUAUUUUUAGUAGAGAAGCGGUUUCACCAUGUUGGCCAGGCUGGUCUUGACCUCCUGACCUCAAGUGAUCUGCCCACCUCAGCCUCCCAAAGUGCUGGGAUUACAAGUGAGAGCCACAGUGCCUGGCCCUAUAUGCUUGCUGAUUUUGUCUAGUUGUUUUAUCAAUUGUUGAGAGAAAGGUGUUGAAGACUUCAAUUGUAAUUGUGGAUUUGUCUAUUUCUCCUUUCAGUUCCAUUAGUUUUUGCUUCACAUAUUCUGUAGCUCUGUCAUUUGGGGCAUAAACAUUAAAAACUGUGAUGCCUUGAUGAAUUGAUACUUUUAUUAUUAUGCAAUGUCACUCUGUUCUUGGUAAGCUUUUUGUGUGGAGAGCUACUUUGAUAUUAAUAUAGCCAUUUAUGUUUUCUUUUGAUUAAUCUUUGCAAAAUAUACCUUUUUCUAUCCUUUUACUUUCAAGCUACGUAUAUAGCUGUAUUUAAGUGAGUUUAUUUUAGACAGCAUAUAAUUGGGUCAUUUUUUUAAAGUCCACUCUACUAAUCUUUGUCUUAGUUGACAUAUUUAGACCAUUUACAUUUAAUGUAAUUAUUGGUAUUACAGGUGUGAGCCUGUAAUUUACAUUUACAUUUAAUGUAAUUAUUGGUAUGUUAGGGCUUAAGUCUGUCACUUAAUUUUUUGUUUUCUUUUUGUUGCCUAUGUUCUUCAUUUCUCUUUUCUUUAUCUUUCUUCUUGUUUUUUUGUUUUGUUUUGUUUUGUUUUUUUAGAGAUGGGGUCUUGCUAUGUUGCCCAGAAUGGUCUCAAACUCCUGGCCUCAAGCAAUCCUUCCACUUUAGCCUCCCAAGUAGCUAUUAUUACAGGCAUGAGCCACUACACCUGGUUCAUUUCUGUUUUAUUUUUCCUGUGCUCUUGUUGAUAAAGUGUUUCUUAUUCUAUACAUACAUAGCUUAUCACAGUGUACCGGUAUUGACAUUUUGCCAGUUUGAGUGAAGUGUAGAAACCUUACCUACUAUUAAGUCCCUUUAUCCUCCCUCAUUUAUAAUUACCUUAAGUAUUUCCUCUAUAUAUUUCAGAACCACUUUAGACAAUGAUAUACAAUCAGCAUUUAUAAAAAACUUCAGAAGCAUUAAAGUCUAUCGCAUUUACCCACAUUUUCCUUCUUUCAGUUGUUUUUUCUCCCUUUCUGACAGUCCAAGAUUCCUUAUUUUAUCAUUUCCUUUACAUUUUAAGAACUUCCUUUAGCCAUUCUUUUAGAGUAGUUAUGUUGGUGACAGAUUCUCUAAGUGUUCCUUCAUCUGAGAAUGUCUUGAUCUCCCCUCCAUUUCUGAAGUAUACUUUUGCUGGAUAUUGAAUUUUGGUUUGACAGUUCUUUUCUUUCAGCUCUUGAAAAAUGUGCCACUUCUUUCUGGCCUUUGUAGUAUCUGAUGAGAGAUCCUGUUUUUCUCUUAUACAUAAGAGAUUGUCAUCUCUUUCUCAAUUCUAUGUUUGUCUUUAACUUUCAGAAGUUUGAUUAUUAUGUGUCCUGAUAUGGAUUUCUUUGGCUUUAUCCUGUUUGGCGCUCACUUUCUUUAAUCUGGAGAUUUAUGUCUUUCGCUAAAUUUGAAUAGUUUUCAGCCAUUAUUUCUUCAAGUACUUUUUAAGCCCAUCUCCCCUCUCCUCUCUCUCCAUGACAGGAGUGUUAGAUCUUUUGUAAUAAUCCUAUAGGUCCCUGAGACUCUAUCUA
rnacentral:lncRNA from 1 species